rnacentral:rRNA from 1 species
UACGAAGGUGGCAAGCGUUGUUCGGAUUUACUGGGCGUAAAGGGCGCGUAGGCGGUCAGCACAAGUCAGUUGUGAAAUCUCCGGGCUUAACUCGGAAAGGUCAACUGAUACUGUGCGACUAGAGUGCAGAAGGGGCAACUGGAAUUCUCGGUGUAGCGGUGAAAUGCGUAGAUAUCGAGAGGAACACCUGCGGCGAAGGCGGGUUGCUGGGCUGACACUGACGCUGAUGCGCGAAAGCCAGGGGAGCGAACGGG